UGGGGAAUUUUGGACAAUGGGCGAAAGCCUGAUCCAGCAAUGCCGCGUGUGUGAAGAAGGCCUUCGGGUUGUAAAGCACUUUUGUCCGGAAAGAAAUCCUCUGGGUUAAUACCUCGGGGGGAUGACGGUACCGGAAGAAUAAGCACCGGCUAACUACGUGCCAGCAGCCGCGGUAAUACGUAGGGUGCAAGCGUUAAUCGGAAUUACUGGGCGUAAAGCGUGCGCAGGCGGUUUUGUAAGACGGAUGUGAAAUCCCCGGGCUUAACCUGGGAACUGCAUUCGUGACUGCAAGGCUAGAGUAUGGCAGAGGGGGGUAGAAUUCCACGUGUAGCAGUGAAAUGCGUAGAGAUGUGGAGGAAUACCGAUGGCGAAGGCAGCCCCCUGGGCCAAUACUGACGCUCAUGCACGAAAGCGUGGGGAGCAAACAGGAUUAGGAUACCCUGGUAGUCCACGCCCUAAACGAUGUCAACUAGUUGUUGGGGAUUCAUUUCCUUAGUAACGUGAGCUAACGCGUGAAGUUGACCGCCUGGGGAGUACGGUCGCAAGAUUAAAACUCAAAGGAAUUGACGGGGUCAUAGCUGUUUCCU
rnacentral:rRNA from 1 species